rnacentral:lncRNA from 1 species
AAUCAUCAAUAUUGCUAUGCACACGGCAAAUCAUUACCAAAGUAACAUAGCAGAGGUCUAAAUUAGAUAAGCUUCAUCCAUGCAGAUGUGAGAAAAAUUUAUGGAGUCUGAUUACUGCUACUUUAUGCAAUUCGUUCAAAUUAGAGAACAAGGAAACUGAAUUUGUUUAUUAAUCCCACUACUACUGUAUGAAAUUAGUUAUACUUAUAUAAGUUGGGAGGGAGAGUGUUGUGCUCAGCUAUGUGAGACGCCCC